rnacentral:rRNA from 1 species
ACUCCUACGGGAGGCAGCAGUGGGGAAUAUUGGACAAUGGGGGAAACCCUGAUCCAGCCAUGCCGCGUGUGUGAAGAAGGCCUUCGGGUUGUAAAGCACUUUCAGUGGGGAGGAAAGGUUGAUGGUUAAUACCUAUCCAGCUGUGACGUUACCCACAGAAGAAGCACCGGCUAACUCCGUGCCAGGCAGCCGCGGUAAUACGGAGGGUGCGAGCGUUAAUCGGAAUUACUGGGCGUAAAGCGCAUGCAGGUGGUUUGUUAAGUCAGAUGUGAAAGCCCGGGGCUCAACCUCGGAAUUGCAUUUGAAACUGGCAGACUAGAGUACUGUAGAGGGGGUAGAAUUUCAGGUGUAGCGGUGAAAUGCGUAGAGAUCUGAAGGAAUACCGGUGCGAAGGCGGCCCCCUGGACAGAUACUGACACUCAGAUGCGAAGCUGGGGAGCAAACAGGAUUAGAUACCCUGGUAGCUACGAG